UCCGUAGGUGAACCUGCGGAAGGAUCAUUAAAU
rnacentral:rRNA from 1 species